rnacentral:pre_miRNA from 1 species
UGCUUUGCAGGUGCAGCAUCAUCAAGAUUCACAUACCCAUCAUCGGACGGCGGGGCAUAUAUAUAUAUGUACGGUCGUUUAAGGAUGUUUUAUACGACACUUAUAUAUAUAUAUAUAUAUAUAUAUAUAUAUAUAUAUAUAUAUAUAUGCUCCCAUGUUUGUGGAACGUAGUGAGAAUCCUGAUGAUGCUGCAUCAGCAAACAA